rnacentral:rRNA from 2 species
UAGGGAAUUUUCGGCAAUGGGCGCAAGCCUGACCGAGCAACGCCGCGUGAGUGAAGACGGCCUUCGGGUUGUAAAGCUCUGUUGUAAGGGAAGAACACAUCUGAGAGAAUCAGGUGCUGACGGUACCUUACCAGAAAGCCACGGCUAACUACGUGCCAGCAGCCGCGGUAAUACGUAGGUGGCGAGCGUUAUCCGGAAUUAUUGGGCGUAAAGGGUGCGUAGGCGGCUGGUUAAGUUUGUGGUCAAAUCGUUGGGCUCAACCCAAUCCUGCCACAGAUACUGAUCAGCUAGAGUACUGGAGAGGGAAGUGGAAUUCCAUGUGUAGCGGUAAAAUGCGUAGAUAUAUGGAGGAACACCGGAGGCGAAGGCGGCUUCCUAGACAGAGACUGACGCUCAGGCACGAAAGCGUGGGGAGCAAAUAGG